UCAGCCUCAACACCACUAAAUCGAUGUAACUAUGACACCGACAUUUCAUCUAAAAUCAGGCUAAUACAGCUCAGGCUUCCAUACUCCCGCGUAAAGAAACUUACGUUUGCUGAGAUCACAUCAAUUUUGAUAAGCAGCAUAGAACCAGAUAUCGCUUGUCUUCUAGCAAAAAGAGUAUGCCGAUUGACAUCCAAGAAAGUUUCAUUAAAACACACGAUGAAGUUAUUACUAGGGCAAAAAGGGUCCAUGAUCUGUCAUUAGCUCAACAGGCACAAACUCGCAGUAAUUCAGACAGGGAAAUACGAUACAAUAACCCACAUACCGUACUUAGAUGCACGAUAAUACAUUAUCACAUGCAAACAUGCGCUUUAGCUUUAUCAUCAAAAAGCUUCAAUUGGCAGACUGUCGCAGCUCAGGUCGGACAAAGUUUGCAUCUGCAGACACGGAGAUAUCAACGGUAGGUCUCAACUGUGAGCAAACUUCAAUUGCUCCAUGCACCGGAUCUGACAAGAAGUUGCUGAUGAGGUCCCGGUUAAUUGGGGUACCAUUGUCCACAGCAACUAAAGCUUGUUGAGUCAGGAUGUAAUCAAAUCGGGGAGCCCACUUCCUUGACCCAAGACGAGCUGUGGUCGAACAAUUGU